UUGUUUUGUUAAGAUAACAAGACAUUCAUUACACAAUGUUUGUAUUGUAAAAAGGUCAGCCCGAGGGCCGAAAACGGUUCACAGAGGUGUUGGGAUUAAUAAUUGAUGAGGCCCUGAGGCCAAUCAUUAAUGAUCCUUCCGCAGGUUCACCUACGGAAA
rnacentral:misc_RNA from 1 species